rnacentral:rRNA from 1 species
GGGAAUUAGGGUUCGAUUCCGGAGAGGGAGCCUGAGAGAUAGCUACCACUUCUACGGAGGGCAGCAGGCGCGUAAAUUGCCCAAUGCCAAAUCGGCGAGGCAGCGAAGAAAAAUAGCGACCCCGCCUCUUCGGAGCGCGGGGAUUGCAAUGGGUGGUACGUAAACCCACCAACGAGUAUCAAUUGGAGGACAAGUCUGGUGCCAGCACCCGCGGUAAUUCCAGCUCCAAUAGCGUAUAUUAAUGUUGCUGCUGUUAAAGGGUUCGUAGUUGGACUCAGGGCGGGGAGAUUCGCGCACAAUCGUGCGCCUUCGCCCCCGCCCUGUCACAGACGGGGCCGCGUCCCGCCGCGAGCCUUCACUGGCAUCGCGGCACCCGCAAGGGAUCGAGUGCGACACACUCACCGGACCGCCCGUCGUUCUCACCGUGAAUAAAACAGCGUGUUCAAAGCAGCCGUUCGGCCGCAUGACAAAGCAUGGAAUGACAGAGCAUCGACCAGCUGGUUGUGCUUUUGUUGGUUUUCCUACCUAGUUGGGUAACUCGCGGCGCCGCCGCGCCUCCGGGCGCGCGGUGCUCGCACGGGAUUAACGGGGGUUGUCGGGGGAAAACGUAUUCGGGCGUGAGAGGUGAAAUUCUUAGACCGCCCGGGGACGAACUUAUGCGAAGGCAUUUUCCAAGUAUACCUUCAUCAAUCAAGAACUAAAGUGUGGAGAUCGAAGAUGAUUAGAUACCAUUGUAGUCCACCACUGCAAACGAUGACGCCCAUGGAUCGGACAGCGUUCUACUCCGAUGGGAUCUUUUCGGCACUGCUCCCCUUCAACGCGAAAGCUGAGGCUAUGGUCUCAUGGGGAAGUACGUUCGCAAGGCUGAAACUUAAAGAAAUUGACGGAAUGGCACCACCAGACGUGGAGUGUGCGGUUUAAUUUGACUCAACACGGGAAACCUUACCAGGACAGGACAACGGAAGGAUUGACAGGCUGAUAGCCCUUUCUUGAUUCGUUUGACGGUGGUGCAUGGCCGCUUUUGGUCGGUGAAGUGAUUUGUUUGGUUGAUUCCUUUAACGGACGAGACCCAAUCCGCUUACUAGGGGCGCCAUCUCUGCGGGCCUCUCCGCUCCGGCGGGGCGGCCCGGAUAGCGACUCCUUCUUCGCGGCAUUCCAUGCGCCUUAGCAUGGUGGCAUUUUGGGCAACAGCAGGUCCA